UCAACCUGGGAAUUGCAUUCGUAACUGGCAGGCUGGAGUCUUGUAGAGCGGGGUAGAAUUCCAGGUGUAGCGGUGAAAUGCGUAGAGAUCUGGAGGAAUACCGGUGGAGAUGGCGGCCCCCUGGACUAAGACUGACGGUGAGGUGAGAAAGCGUGGGGAGCAAACAGGAUUAGAUCCCCUGGUAGUCCACGCUGUAAACGAUGUCGACUGGGAGCUUGUUCCCAUGAGGAGUGGCUUCCGGAGCUAACGCGUUAAGCCCAGCCGCCUUCGGA
rnacentral:rRNA from 1 species